rnacentral:RNase_P_RNA from 1 species
CAGAAACAUACCGCUAUGCCACAAAAUGCUGGCAAGUAAGGGUGAAAUCGGGAGGUAAGAGCUCCCGGCCGGUCGUGGUAACACGGCGGCGGGCAAGCCCCACCCGGAGCAAGACCAAGCAGGGGCUUAGAGUGCUCGGCUCGUCCCCGGGUUGGUUGCACGAGAUCGUGAGUAAUUGCGGUCCUAGAUGGAUGGCCACCCUCCUUGGAAAAUUCCAAGGAGACAGAACUCGGCUUACAGAUUCGCCGGCCCC